rnacentral:rRNA from 1 species
CCCUUAGAUGUUCUGGGCUGCACGCGCGCUACACUGAUGCGCUCAACGAGUUUUAACCUUGCCUGGAAAGGUUGGGUAAUCUUUUUAAAACGCAUCGUGAUGGGGAUAGAUUAUUGCAAUUAUUAAUCUUCAACGAGGAAUUCCUAGUAAGCGCGAGUCAUCAGCUCGUGCUGAUUACGUCCCUGCCCUUUGUACACACCGCCCGUCGCUACUACCGAUUGAACGUUUUAGUGAGGCAUUUGGACCGACGCAUCUCAGUUUAACCGCUGGUUUGUGUUGGAAAGACUUCCAAACUUGAGCGUUUAGAGGAAGUAAAAGUCGUAACA